rnacentral:rRNA from 1 species
UACGUAGGGUGCAAGCGUUGUCCGGAAUUAUUGGGCGUAAAGAGCUCGUAGGCGGUUUGUCACGUCGGCUGUGAAAACCCGAGGCUCAACCUCGGGCCUGCAGUCGAUACGGGCAGACUAGAGUAUGGCAGGGGAGACUGGAAUUCCUGGUGUAGCGGUGAAAUGCGCAGAUAUCAGGAGGAACACCGGUGGCGAAGGCAGCUCGCUGGGACGUAACUGACGCUGAGACGCGAAAGCGUGGGGAGCAAACAGG